rnacentral:pre_miRNA from 1 species
CCAAUAGGAUUAUGACAUUUGGCAGUCAACAUUUUCCAUUAACAGUCAAUGAGUAAUGAUGACUGUCACGUGUCAUAAUCAUAUUGGACAUUAAUUUUCGUACACCAUUUUAACAUCCAAUAAGAUUAUGAUACAUGGCUGUUAACGUUUU